GAGAGAGAGAGAGAGAGAGAGAGAGAGAGAGAGAGAGAGAGAGAGAGAGAGAGAGCCACUGUGUGAAAUUGGAUAUUUUUGAAGCAGCAGAAGGGAGGAAGAGCCUGUGAGUGCGCACCUUUCCUCUAACGAUAUGAAAAGAAGCAACCUCGGUCAGACACACACGCCCGAUGGAGCAGAGAUGACAAGAGAGAAGUUACAAAGAGGUUUUUUUUGCUCGACACAAGAGGGGAUUUCAUUCAGCAGCAGCGACAAUACAGCUCCGGCUCCUUCUCAUCUAUCCACGGCGGGACCGGUGCGUUUUACGCGCAUCUUUUUUUCCCCCGGAAUAUCUGUCGUGGCUACACGUGGAUCACCUGUUUGCCGGACAGAGCUGAAGGUGACUCGCUGGCUGGGCCAACGGCUGCAACACAGGACAUGGGUCCUGCCUCUCCUCCCCGCUCGUGUCUUGUGUUGCAGCCAGUGGAGCUGCCUGUCUGCCUCUCUGCUCCUCAGUCUGUCCUCCGCUGAUGGACGAGCUCCUGGAAUAGAUGGAUCCCAUCAACCAUGGACCUGCCGACCCAGCCCCUCACUUUACAGCCGGCUUGUGCGUAAUUUUGUCAUUCUGUGUGGUUUUUAAAAUCAAUAUAUUGUCCCCUAUCAUUGUUCAAAGGCAAUAAAGUACUUUGGAGAAAAUGCUA